rnacentral:rRNA from 1 species
GACGUAGGGCGCGAGCGUUGUCCGGAUUUAUUGGGCGUAAAGAGCUCGUAGGCGGCUUGUCACGUCGUUCGUGAAAACUUGGGGCUCAACCCCAAGCUUGCGGUCGAUACGGGCAGGCUAGAGUUCGGUAGGGGAGACUGGAAUUCCUGGUGUAGCGGUGAAAUGCGCAGAUAUCAGGAGGAACACCGGUGGCGAAGGCGGCAUCCUGGACCGAGAUUGACGCUGAUGCGCGAAAGCCAGGGGAGCAAACAGG